AUCGAGAAAAAACCGAAAAAAAAUUAAAACUGUUGAGAACCGAACCCAGCCCUAUUCCGUUAUGGCUACAACGAUGAACUCUUCCAAUUCUUAUUCUCCUACGAAUUCUUCAGCCUCUGCUCCUCACGCUGAAUUUUCUUAUCCUCUACUGGCUCUGAUUGCAUCUGUCAUCGUUCAGAAUAUCGCCGGUAUGGUUCCGACAAAGCUGAAUCGUCACAACUACAUCACAUGGCGCAACUUAUUUCUUCCAAUUCUGAAGCGAUUUAAGCUUUAAGGCUUAUUGAUGGCACCAACUUUUGUCCCUCUCAAUUUGUUCCUAACUCUGCUGGACUUCGUGUUCUCAAUUCUGCACAUGAAAUUUGGUAUCUCUGUGGCUCUCUCUGGAAAAACGAUUUGCUGAGCUUCUCGCACACACAUUCACAGUCUUCGUGCUAAGAUUUAGACGAUCCAAAAAGGGAUCUAAGAACUGGGAAUAUGCUCUUCCAUGGCCCCAGUGAAGGUGGUCUUUAUCCAUUAUAUUGGACAACUUCCAAUGGAUCUUCUGGAAUAAUAGUGUAUCCUCGUGCGUUGAUAGUUACAAAGGCCGAUAUUCAUCUCUGGCAUAAAAGGCUUGGACACCCUUCUAGUGCAGUUUUACAUUCUGUUUUACAAACUCAUCAUUUACUUGUAAUUGGUCUAGUAAAUAAAUUGCCAAUUUUUGUAGCUUGUAAAAUGGAAAAAGCUUCUAAGAUUCCAUUUUAUGUGUUGCCUUGUAACUCUGUCAAACCAUUUCAUUUGGUUCAUGCCGAUGUAUGGGGGCCUUCUCCUACCUCUUAUUGUACUUGUUACAAAUAAUACUUAAUACUAGUGGAUGAUUUCACAAAAUAAAGUUGGUUA